rnacentral:rRNA from 1 species
CCAGACUCCUACGGGAGGCAGCAGUGAGGAAUAUUGGUCAAUGGGCGAGAGCCUGAACCAGCCAAGUCGCGUGAGGGAAGACGGCCCUACGGGUUGUAAACCUCUUUUGUCAGGGAGCAAGAACGGAUACGUGUAUCCGAGCGAGAGUACCUGAAGAAAAAGCAUCGGCUAACUCCGUGCCAGCAGCCGCGGUAAUACGGAGGAUGCGAGCGUUAUCCGGAUUUAUUGGGUUUAAAGGGUGCGCAGGCGGCGUGUCAAGUCAGCGGUAAAAUGUCGGGGCUCAACCCCGGCCGGCCGUUGAAACUGGCGUGCUCGAGUUGGAGAGAAGUAUGCGGAAUUCGUGGUGUAGCGGUGAAAUGCAUAGAUAUCACGAGGACCCCCGAUUGCGAAGGCAGCAUACCGGCUCCACACUGACGCUGAGGCACGAAAGCGUGGGUAUCGAACAGGAUUAGAUACCCGGGUAU